rnacentral:rRNA from 1 species
UACGUAGGGGGCAAGCGUUAUCCGGAAUUACUGGGUGUAAAGGGAGCGUAGACGGUAAUGUAAGUCUGGAGUAAAAGGCGGGGGCCCAACCCCCGGACUGCUCUGGAAACUAUGUUACUAGAGUGCAGGAGAGGUAAGCGGAAUUCCUAGUGUAGCGGUGAAAUGCGUAGAUAUUAGGAGGAACACCAGUGGCGAAGGCGGCUUACUGGACUGUAACUGACGUUGAGGCUCGAAAGCGUGGGGAGCAAACAGG